UACGUAGGGUGCAAGCGUUAAUCGGAAUACUGGGCGUAAGCGUGCGCAGGCGGUUUUGUAAGUUUGUCGUGAAAGCCCCGGGCUCAACCUGGGAAUUGCGAUGAAGACUGCAAGGCUUGAAUCUGGCAGAGGGGGGUAGAAUUCCGCGUGUAGCAGUGAAAUGCGUAGAGAUGUGGAGGAACACCGAUGGCGAAGGCAGCCCCCUGGGUCAAGAUUGACGCUCAUGCACGAAAGCGUGGGGAGCAAACAGG
rnacentral:rRNA from 1 species